AAACUUAAAACAAAAGAAAAUGUUACCAAUAUGAAUCAUAUUUAUUCCGUAAGAUAUACGGCACAGAAAAUAUGCCAAAGGUGCCGACAGCAAUCUGGCAGAAAUCCGGAUACGAGAACCGUUACUGUGUGACCAAAUCCAAGCUCGACGCAUUGUGAGGUGCGGGCUAAUGCCCAUCGGUCAGCCGCCUGUAGAUUUAGGAUGUAUCAUACCCGUUACUGGAAGAGUAAAUAGGGUAUAUUGUAUUUGCAAUCGAAAGCGGAUGUACAUACAUAAAUAAAUAUGUAAAGCACAGAGGGAAACGUUUACGAGUCCAU
rnacentral:lncRNA from 1 species